UACAGAGGUCCCAAGCGUUGUUCGGAUUCAUUGGGCGUAAAGGGUGCGUAGGUGGCGCUGUAAGUCGGGUGUGAAAUUUCGGAGCUUAACUCCGAAACUGCAUUCGAUACUGCGGUGCUUGAGGACUGGAGAGGAGACUGGAAUUCAUGGUGUAGCAGUGAAAUGCGUAGAGAUCAUGAGGAAGACCAGUGGCGAAGGCGGGUCUCUGGACAGUUCCUGACACU
rnacentral:rRNA from 1 species